UAUGGGGAUCUAAUCUCCCAAACUGGGAUUAGAUACCCCACUAUGCUUAGCCUUAAACCUAAAUAAUUUCCUAACAAAAUUAUUCGCCAGAGAACUACAAGCCAGAGCUUAAAACUCAAAGGACUUGGCGGUGCUUUAUACCCGCCUAGAGGAGCCUGUUCUAUAAUCGAUAAACCCCGAUAAACCUUA
rnacentral:rRNA from 1 species